AUGAUCAUCUCUAUUUUAGGUAUUCGGGGAAUCCUCCUUAAUAGACGAAAUAUUCUUAUUAUGUCAAUGCCAAUUGAAUCAAUGUUAUUAGCUGUCAAUUUGAACUUUUUGGUAUUUUCCGCUUUGGAUGAUAUGAUGGGUCAAUCAUUUGCUUCAUUAGUUCCAACAGUGGCAGCUGCGGAAUUUUCUAUUGGAUUAGCCAUUUUCGUUAUUACUUUUCGAGUCCGAGGGACUAUUGCUGUCGAAUCUAUAAAUUUCAUUCAAGGUUAA
rnacentral:rRNA from 1 species